rnacentral:rRNA from 1 species
UACGAAGGGGGCUAGCGUUGCUCGGAAUUACUGGGCGUAAAGCGCACGUAGGCGGCUUCUUAAGUCGGUGGUGAAAUCCUGGAGCUCAACUCCAGAACUGCCUUCGAUACUGGGAAGCUCGAGUCCGGGAGAGGUGAGUGGAACUGCGAGUGUAGAGGUGAAAUUCGUAGAUAUUCGCAAGAACACCAGUGGCGAAGGCGGCUCACUGGUCCGGAACUGAUGCUGAGGAGCGAAAGCGUGGGGAGCGAACAGG